rnacentral:rRNA from 1 species
AACGAACGCUGGCGGCAUGCCUAACACAUGCAAGUCGAACGAUGCUUUCGGGCAUAGUGGCGCACGGGUGCGUAACGCGUGGGAAUCUGCCCUUAGGUUCGGAAUAACAGUUAGAAAUGACUGCUAAUACCGGAUGAUGACGUUAAGUCCAAAGAUUUAUCGCCUGAGGAUGAGCCCGCGUAGGAUUAGCUAGUUGGUGUGGUAAAGGCGCAACAAGGCGACGAUCCUUAGCUGGUCUGAGAGGAUGAUCAGCCACACUGGGACUGAGACACGGCCCAGACUCCUCCGGGAGGCAGCAGUGGGGAAUAUUGGACAAUGGGCGCAAGCCUGAUCCAGCAAUGCCGCGUGAGUGAUGAAGGCCUUAGGGUUGUAAAGCUCUUUUACCCGUGAUGAUAAUGACAGUAGCGGGAGAAUAAGCCCCGGCUAACUCCGUGCCAGCAGCCGCCGUAAAAC